rnacentral:lncRNA from 1 species
AUAGCGAAAACUACUUCCAGCUAAAUGUGCACACACGCCAGUACAGCCGAAAAGUGACUCUGCAGAACCCGGAGCCCUAAUCACUUUUCCACAUGCGCCUCCGGCCCGGCGCGCGACGGGGAACGAGCUGGGAGCGCCCGCGCAGCCAGGAGGGGGGCUGGGCCGCGGGAACGCUGUCCCCCUCCCAGGCUGGAAGGCGGGGAUAAUUCCCCCUGCCGUGCAGCCCUUCUAGACGGCGUCUACCCCUUUAAGAAAAAUCUAGGCGGAGGUGGGGUGCGACAGAAGGGGUGGUGAGGCGAGGGUUUCCCUCCCUCCGUCUGCUAUACCCGUCUCCCUCGCUCCGUCUCACUCUCCGUCUUUCCUCUCCUUCUUUUCCUCUGUUUUUCUUUUCUUUCAACACAAAAGUUGGGUUGUGAAUUUUCCGAGGUCGCCGCCGCCUCGCCCCCACCCCCCGCCUCUGAUCUGCCUAACUAUAAUUAAAGUGCGUUUUUUGUGGCAU